rnacentral:rRNA from 1 species
UACAGAGGUGGCAAGCGUUGUUCGGAAUUACUGGGCGUAAAGGGCGCGUAGGCGGCCUUGUAAGUCCUGUGUGAAAUCCCCCGGCUCAACUGGGGAACUGCACAGGAGACUGCUUGGCUUGAGUUCGGGAGAGGGAUGCAGAAUUCCAGGUGUAGCGGUGAAAUGCGCAGAUAUCCGGAGGAACACCGGUGGCGAAGGCGGCUUCCUGGACCGACACUGACGCUGAGGCGCGAAAGCUAGGGGAGCAAACGGG